AGAACGAACGCUGGCGGCAUGCCUAACACAUGCAAGUCGAACGCGUGGAGCAAUCCACGAGUGGCGGACGGGUGAGUAACGCGUGGGAACCUGCCCUGGAGUGUGGGAUAACCGAGGGAAACUUCGGCUAAUACCGCAUACGACCUGAGGGUGAAAGAUUUAUCGCUCUAGGAGGGGCCCGCGUCGGAUUAGCUAGUUGGCAGGGUAAUGGCCUACCAAGACGGUGAUCUGUAU
rnacentral:rRNA from 1 species